CUCGGCUGCAUACAAAAUAAGCGAUUAUAUAAUACACUACACAGUUAUAGGAAGCACUAUUACUAAUAAAUUUACACAAAUACACAACUAAACCGAUAAUUUAUUAAUCGAAGUCUAUUAUCGUUACAUUAUUAUUGAGCAUCAUUACACUAGUCUAUCGUAUGUUGAGAAUGUAAAAUAAUAAGAGCGUCACAUACGUCGGCGAUUGUCUCGUCGGGUUUAUUCUUUGCUCCCCAGCGAGGUCGGAGAUUGUACGGGCUUCGAAAUCGUUUGCCCCUUCCCGGCGUGCGAUUUUUAAGACACUCUUUGGGAGCCUUUGGCGGACUCUCUAUUUUUUGACGUGCCGCAUCCUUUCUAGAUUUCGAAGAAGAUCUUGACCGUUCUUUCCCGAUUUCGGGAUUCUCCUUAAUGGCCGAGAUCGGUGCGGGCAUCGCCAAUAUGGACGAUCCUAUCCUUUAUUUUUUAACUCUCUGUGUCGAUCGCGUAGAUGAUUUAGACGGUGGGGGUGUUGGUACUUGCACCCCAUCGUGCCUCCUCUUCUUGCUUUUGAUAAUUCCAGUAGAUGCCGGGGUGGAUUUUGAUGCUGGUAGGAGUGCCGGAUUGCUCAGUAUGCCGGCAACGGAGGUGGCAAGACUGAACACCACGGCCUCCAGACGGCUAAUUGCCGCCAUCACCUCUUUAUAACCCCCCGGAGGUUCCUCAUUCCUGGGGCGGCGGUGGCGCCUCGGAACUUGAGCCUCGACACCCACCAGCCGUAGUUCCUCCGGGGAGAGUUCGAGCCUGCGGCAGCACGUAGUGAAGUUAAAAUCCUCCUUCACUCUCGACGAUCCCCGCGAACGACGAGUCCAUCUAAUCGUAUCCCACCUCUGGACACGAGGAAAUAUUGCACGGCGGGAAGGCAGAGGGCAUCUGUACCCAGUGUGCUCAUAUAUCCACACCUGAUAGCAAAGACAUUAUUACACUAAUAUCAGAAUGAUAUUACACUAAAGUUCACACAGUUACUUGAUUUAAGCAUACAAUAGCUUAAUUUGCACUAUUUAAAAAAUGGUUUUGCACGAUUACUUGAACAAUAGACACUUACUGGGAGAAGCGGGGUGCAUCCAAGAACAUAUCCUACCCGCUUCGAAUUAGCUUGUAAUUUAACGGCGGCGGAGCAUAGGCUGUCGAUUAUAAGCCGGUGUACUGCUUCCGGCCAAUUGUAGCAUGCCAGUGCGGGGAGAUUAUCGACAAGACCC
rnacentral:lncRNA from 1 species